rnacentral:piRNA from 1 species
UAGAUGUGUUAGUGGUUCAAACUCCAGCU